rnacentral:rRNA from 1 species
UACGUAGGUGGCAAGCGUUGUCCGGAUUUACUGGGCGUAAAGAGCGCGCAGGCGGUCGUUCAAGUCGCGUGUGAAAGCCCCCGGCUCAACUGGGGAGGGUCACGCGAUACUGAUCGACUCGAAGGCAGGAGAGGGAAGUGGAAUUCCCGGUGUAGUGGUGAAAUGCGUAGAUAUCGGGAGGAACACCAGUGGCGAAGGCGACUUCCUGUCCUGUUCUUGACGCUGAGGCGCGAAAGCUAGGGGAGCAAACGGG